UACCAGCUCUCCGAGUGGUAGGGAUGUUUAUUGGGCUUAAAGCGUCCGUAGCCGGCUUAGCAAGUCUCCUGUUAAAUUCAGCGACCUAAUCGUUGAGCCGCGGGAGAUACUACUAGGCUAGGAGGCGGGAGAGGUCAACGGUGCUUCCGGGGUAGGGGUGAAAUCCUAUAAUCCCGGGAGGACCACCAGUGGCGAAGGCUGUUGACUAGAACGCGCUCGACGGUGAGGGACGAAAGCUGGGGGAGCGAACCGGAUUAGAUACCCGGGUAGUCCCAGCUGUAAACGAUGCGAGCUAGGUGUUGGGGUGGCUACGUGCCACUUCAGUGCCGCAGGGAAGCCAUUAAGCUCGCCGCCUGGGGAGUACGGCCGCAAGGCUGAAACUUAAAGGAAUUGGCGGGGAGCACCACAAGGCGUGAAGCUUGCGGUUC
rnacentral:rRNA from 1 species